CGGACGGGUGAGUAACACGUGGGCAACCUACCUGUAAGACUGGGAUAACUUCGGGAAACCGGAGCUAAUACCGGAUGACAUAAAGGAACUCCUGUUCCUUUAUUGAAAGAUGGCUUUUAGCUAUUACUUACAGAUGGGCCCGCGGCGCAUUAGCUAGUUGGUGAGGUAACGGCUCACCAAGGCGACGAUGCGUAGCCGACCUGAGAGGGUGAUCGGCCACACUGGGACUGAGACACGGCCCAGACUCCUACGGGAGGCAGCAGUAGGGAAUCUUCCGCAAUGGACGAAGGUCUGACGGAGCAACGCCUCGGGAGCGAUGAAUGCCUUCGGGUCGUAAAGCUCUUUUGUUAGGGAAUAAUAUUUGCUAGUUGAAUAAGCUGGCACCUUGACGGUACCUAACCAGAAAGCCACGGCUAACUACGUGCCACCAGCCGCGGUAAUGCGUAGGUGGCAAGCGUUGUCCGGAAUUAUUGGGCGUAAAGCGCGCGCAUGCGGUUUCUUAAGUCUGAUGUGAAAGCCCCCGGCUCAACCGGGGAGGGUCAUUGGAAACUGGGAAACUUGAGUGCAGAAGAGGAAAGUGGAAUUCCUAGUGUAGCGGUGAAAUGCGUAGAGAUUUGGAGGAACACCAGUGGCGAACGCCACGUUCUGGUCUGUAACUGACGCUGAGGCGCGAAAGCGUGCGGAGCAAACAAGAUUAGAUACCCUGGUAGUCCACGCUGUAAACGAUGAGUGCUAAGUGUUAGAGGGUUUCCGCCCUUUAGUGCUGAAGUUAACGCAUUACGCACUCCGCCUGGGGAGUACGGUCGCAAGACUGACACUCAAUGAAUUGACGCGCGCCGCACAAGUGGUGGAGCAUGUGAUUAAUUCGAAG
rnacentral:rRNA from 1 species